UCCGUCUCCUCCCCAUCCCUCGGCCGGGUUCGUGACACUCUGCGGCUCUCUCGAUGGUGUGAUCGGGGGGAAUAUGUGAAGAUCAUGCGGGCGGUGUGGUGCUUCAUGGUCUUCGCUGCAGUGGGCGAGAGGCUUGCGGUCUCAGGUGUGGACAGGAGCCCGGCGCAGGAUGGAGGCAUGUGGGGCUGGUUUACCCCAGCAGGACGACCGGACAGCGGGGACACGGCGGCCGAGAUCACCCACCCGAAGUGGCUGGUGCAGCAGACUGAGUCGGAGGAGGAAGUGGCUCAAGACUUCUUCGAUACCAGGGUGAAGAACAGCACCGGAGACACACUGCCACUGCACUUGGCCCAGACCUGUUUCCGAGUGGAAGCCUUUGGACACACCUUCACUCUGGACCUGGAGCUAAACCAUCACCUCCUGUCUUCAGAAUACGUGGAGCGGCACUUUAACCAGGAUGGCAGACCCGCGGAGUCCGUGGGAGGGGAGCACUGCUACUACCAGGGAAGGUUAAGAGGUUUACCAGAGUCCUGGGCUGCCGUCUCCACCUGCCACGGCCUGUGCGGCAUGUUCUCUGACGGCUUCUUCUCUUACGGGAUCGAGCCCCUUCACAAUGGGACCAGUCAGGAUGGUGGCGCUCACUUAAUCCGCAGGAUGCCUGAUAUCAGACUUCCCCCCCACUGCACAGACUGUACAGAGGACAGUGAGUGGGAUGGCAGAGGAGGUGACGGUGGUGACGACAGACCGGACCAAGCGAGGGAGCAGCAGGUGUCUGGGGGCCUGAGGCGAGCCAAGAGAUUCGUUCGCAAGCCCUCUGUCCAGAGCGAGACCAAAUACAUUGAGUUGAUGGUGAUCAACGACAAUGAAAUGUUUGUACAGCUGCGUAACUCGAGCAGCCAAACCAAGAACUUUGCCAAAGCAGUGGUGAACAUGGCCGACGCGAUCUACAAGGAACAGCUGAACACGAGGAUCGUUCUGGUUGCCAUGGAAACCUGGACCUCUAAUAAUAAGAUGCCAGUGGUUGAGGACCCAUUGGUGACGCUGCAGAACUUCAUGAAGUACAGGAAGGACACCGUCAAGGAGCAGAGCGACGCUGUCCAUCUUUUCUCAGGACGCACAUUUCACAGCAGCCGCAGCGGGAUGGCCUACACAGGAGGAGUGUGCUCUCAGACGCGUGGCGGAGGAAUCAACGAGUAUGGGAAUGUCGGUGCAAUGGCCAUUACUUUGUGUCAGAGUCUUGGCCAGAACAUCGGGAUGAAGUGGAACAACGCCCGCAGCUCUGCAGGAGACUGCAGGUGUCCGGAUGCCUGGCUGGGCUGCAUCAUGGAAGACACUGGAUACUAUCUGCCCAGAAAGUUUUCUCGCUGCAGUGUUGAUGAGUACACCCAGUUCCUGUUCCGGGGGGGCGGGAGCUGUCUCUUCAACAAGCCCAGCAAGCUGUUGGAUCCUCCAGACUGUGGGAACGGCUUCGUGGAGCCAGGGGAGGAGUGUGACUGUGGAUCCCAGGUGGAGUGUGCCCGGAGCGGAGGAACCUGCUGUAAGAAGUGCACGCUCACCCAUGAUGCCAUGUGUAGUAAUGGACUUUGCUGCAGUGGCUGCAAGUACGAGCAGAGGGGCGUGGUGUGUCGAGACGCUGUGAACGACUGUGAUAUCCCAGAGACCUGCACCGGCGACUCCAGCCAGUGUCCUCAUAAUGUCAACAAGCUGGACGGCUACCUGUGCGAUAGCAGUCAGGGCCGCUGUUACGGUGGACGAUGCAGGACUCGUGAUGGACAGUGUAAAGGACUGUGGGGUUAUAAUUCAGCUGACAGGUUUUGUUACGAGAAGCUGAACGCUGAGGGGACAGAGAAGGGAAACUGUGGUCCAAGUCCUGAAGGCCGGGGCUGGCUGCAGUGCAACAAGCCGGACGUUUUAUGCGGCUUCUUGUUCUGUGCCAACAUGACGAUGAAGCCAAAGUUCGGGGACCUGCAGGGGGAGGUGACCAGCUUCACCCUCUACCACCAGAACAAGUACCUGGACUGCAGAGGCGGCCAUGCUCUGCUGGAGGACGGCUCUGAUCUGGGCUAUGUGGAGGACGGCACUCCCUGUGGUCCCAACAUGAUGUGUUUGGAGCGGCGCUGCCUCCCUGUGGCAGCGUUCAACCACAGCACCUGUGCGCGAUCCAACUUUGGCCGCAUCUGUUCUGACCACGGGACCUGCAGCAACGAGGUGAAGUGCAUCUGUGACCGGGACUACACGGGGAAGGACUGCAGCGUCUUUGACCCCAUCCCCGAGCCGACGGUCCCCACUGGCCCGGAGAAGAAAGUCGGCCCAUGACACAGAGAUAGAGAGCAGCUGCUCUCAUAGGUACAAAAAAAAACCACAGCCCCCCCGAGCACGGGGGCGUCCAGCUGAGAGGGCAGGAGAGGGGGAAUGAGAACAAAGUCCCAGUGGCACCAAUAUCAUAAUAGGGUCCAUCGCAGGUGCUAUUCUCCUGGCAGCUAUAGUCCUAGGGGGAACAGGAUGGGGAUUUAAAAACAUUCGGAGAGGAAGAUCUGGUGGCGGAUAAGACGUCUGUCUCUGUGUCCGUCUCUAUUGUCCUGUCUACUCCUGUCUUCCUCCUCGCACUGUGUCAUUUCCACAUUGGAGAAGAG